UACGUAGGGUGCGAGCGUUAAUCGGAAUUACUGGGCGUAAAGCGUGCGCAGGCGGUGAUGUAAGACAGGUGUGAAAUCCCCGGGCUUAACCUGGGAACUGCAUUUGUGACUGCAUCGCUGGAGUGCGGCAGAGGGGGAUGGAAUUCCGCGUGUAGCAGUGAAAUGCGUAGAUAUGCGGAGGAACACCGAUGGCGAAGACAAUCCCCUGGGCCUGCACUGACGCUCAUGCACGAAAGCGUGGGGAGCAAACAGG
rnacentral:rRNA from 1 species